GAACGCUAGCGGCAGGCUUAACACAUGCAAGUCGAGGGGUAGAAGGAGCUUGCUCCUUUGAGACCGGCGCACGGGUNCGUAACGCGUAUGCAAUCUACCUUUUGCAGAGGGAUAGCCCAGAGAAAUUUGGAUUAAUACCUCAUAGUAUAGUACUUUGGCAUCAAGGAACUAUUAAAGUCACAACGGCAAAAGAUGAGCAUGCGUCCCAUUAGCUAGUUGGUAAGGUAACGGCUUACCAAGGCUACGAUGGGUAGGGGUCCUGAGAGGGAGAUCCCCCACACUGGUACUGAGACACGGACCAGACUCCUACGGGAGGCAGCAGUGAGGAAUAUUGGACAAUGGGCGCAAGCCUGAUCCAGCCAUGCCGCGUGCAGGAUGACGGUCCUAUGGAUUGUAAACUGCUUUAUACAGGAAGAAACACUCCGACGUGUCGGAGCUUGACGGUACUGUAAGAAUAAGGAUCGGCUAACUCCGUG
rnacentral:rRNA from 1 species